rnacentral:piRNA from 1 species
UUGCCUCCCGUAAAACUUCUAUGAUGCC